rnacentral:misc_RNA from 1 species
GAUGAAAGAACGUAGCGAAAUGCGAUAAGUAAUGUGAAUUGCAGAAUUCAGUGAAUCAUCGAAUCUUUGAACGCACAUUGCGCCCCCUGGUAUUCCGGGGGGCAUGCCUGUUCGAGCGUCAUUUCACCACUCAAGCCUCGCUUGGUAUUGGGCAACGCGGUCCGCCGCGUGCCUCAAAUCGACCGGCUGGGUCUUCUGUCCCCUAAGCGUUGUGGAAACUAUUCGCUAAAGGGUGUUCGGGAGGCUACGCCGUAAAACAACCCCAUUUCUAAGGUUGACCUCGGAUCAGGUAGGGAUACCCGCUGAACUUAAGCAUAUCAAUAAGCGGAGGA